GAACGGGGGUCAAUGUAAGUUCGAGCUGUGGAUCGGUAUUCAGUGAUGUGGCAAUUGUGAAAAGUGUGAGAUAUUUUCAUGAUUGUUCGAAUCGGAUUUCAGUUCGGAGAGGGAGAGAGUGAGCAGGAAAGGAGAAAGAGCGUGAAAACCUAUUGAUAAUCUUUUUCUGUAUAAUACAUAUACAUAUAUGUUGUACAUAGCGCCGAAGAUGUCAAACUGUCAAGCGAAUACGAAGCAUUGUGAUCAAAUACAUAUAUGUAUGCUAACAAAUACAUGUGUGCGGCUAUCUGUGUGUGCGUGCGUGUGUGUUGACGUUGGUUCAUACACUAAAAAAAAAGAAUGUUCACUAAAAUCCCCAGAAGCUUAGAAAUAAUUUCUUUAAAUAGGUAAUGCCUGGAAGAGAAAUAUCUGACCUGCUUGCAGGGUAUCUUAUAGUCGAACUUAGUCGACUUUAACAUAAAUUGUUGCCCUCUCAAUUACUAAUAUGACAAAAUAAAGCCGCACUCAGAAGUAUAAUGCCAAACGCUCGGCCCAAAGCUCGUUUUGGACAUCAAUUUUGCUUUCCGCAUUUUGACAGCUGUUUUUAUACCCUGUACGCAUAUAAAACGGGUAUGUACGUUGCGAAAAAGCCAGAUAAAAUUACUUAUUCUUUAUACAAUUUCAUCGUGCACCUAAAUCCCUUUCAAGGCUUGCACAUUUUUUUAAUAGUUUCUUCUUUAUAUGGUGCCCGCUGCAGAAUAUCUUUAGGUAUAGUUUACUGAAGAUUUCAUUGCCCCAAACUACUUCUCAGAGGUCUUUGUUCAAAUUCAUUUGAGGGGUGUUUCACACAUUUCCAAAAAAUGUAUUCCUUCUUGUUGCGAAUGGGGAUCAAAGAUUUGGUGGGUCACGUUUCGCGCUGAAAUUCGGAUGAAAUUUAAGGAUCUAUAUGGAGAAAUCAUUUUACAUUUUCCGAAAAUCAAAGCUUCCCCGGUUUCCGGCUUCCGAUUUGCUUCAAACUUAUUUUCAAAGUUCUACAUAAGAAUAUAAUGAAUACGUGUUUAAGCGAUUUGGGAAAUUCCACCCGCAACAGUGGUAAAUUGGCGGUUGACCCAAAUUUCAACCAAGGAGGAAUGGAUUUUUCAAAAAGUACGAAACAUCCCUCAAAUGAAUUUGAACAAAGAUCUUUGAAAAUGAGUUUGAGGCCGAUCGGAUGGUUACAUAAGGUAACUACAGUGAAAAUUUCAACUUGCUAACUCUUACGUUUUGGGCUGUACGUUGAUCACCAAUCAGUCAGUCAAUAAGUCAAUCAGGACAAACAGUUUGUUUGCAUCCAGCUUUAUACAGAAGUAAAUAAUGGAGUUUGUUAUAAUAUCGAACUCUAAUUCAUUUUAAUUUGUUUGAUAUGCGUCGAAUUUAAUAU